rnacentral:rRNA from 1 species
CUUUUGUGGGGUGCUCGAGUGGCGAACGGGUGAGUAACACGUUAGUAACCUGCCCUUGACUUUGGGAUAACUUCAGGAAACUGGGGCUAAUACCGGAUAGGAGCUCCUGCUGCAUGGUGGGGGUUGGAAAGUUUCGGCGGUUGGGGAUGGACUCGCGGCUUAUCAGCUUGUUGGUGGGGUAGUGGCUUACCAAGGCUUUGACGGGUAGCCGGCCUGAGAGGGUGACCGGCCACAUUGGGACUGAGAUACGGCCCAG